rnacentral:rRNA from 1 species
AUUGAACGCUGGCGGCAGGCCUAACACAUGCAAGUCGAGCGGAGCGGCGGACGGGUGAGUAAUGUCUGGGAAACUGCCUGAUGGAGGGGGAUAACUACUGGAAACGGUAGCUAAUACCGCAUACUAUCAGAUGAACCUAGGUGGGAUUAGUUAGUUGGUGGGGAAAAGGCCUACCAGGGCGACGAUCCGUAACUGGUUUGAGAGGAGGAUCAGUCACACUGGAACUGAGACACGGCCCAGACUCCUACGUGAGGCAGCAGUGGGGAAUAUUGGACAAUGGGCGAAAGCCUGAUCCAGCCAUGCCGCGUGUGUGAAGAAGGUCUUCGGAUUGUAAAGUACUUUAAGCUGGGAGGCGUUACCAACAGAAUAAGCACCGGCUAAUUUCGUGCCAGCAGCCGCGGUAAUAC